rnacentral:tRNA from 1 species
AUUUUUAAAAAUUAAAUAAAAUGCUAAAAUAAAAAUUUUGUAACAGGUUAAUAAAAAUU